rnacentral:tRNA from 1 species
ACAGCUCUGUGGUAGAACACCUGCUUUGCAUGCAGAAGGUCCCAGGUUCAAUCCCUGGAAUCUAUG